AUUGAACGCUGGCGGCAUGCCUAACACAUGCAAGUCGAACGGAAACGAUUAAGAGCUUGCUCUUAAGGCGUCGAGUGGCGGACGGGUGAGUAAUACUUAGGAAUCUGCCCAUUAGUGGGGGACAACUCGGGGAAACUCGAGCUAAUACCGCAUACGCCCUACGGGGGAAAGCGGGGGAUCUUCGGACCUCGCGCUAAUGGAUGAGCCUAAGUCGGAUUAGCUUGUUGGUGAGGUAAAAGCUCACCAAGGCGACGAUCCGUAGCUGGUCUGAGAGGACGAUCAGCCACACUGGGACUGAGACACGGCCCAGACUCCUACGGGAGGCAGCAGUGGGGAAUAUUGGACAAUGGGCGCAAGCCUGAUCCAGCAAUGCCGCGUGUGUGAAGAAGGCCUGCGGGUUGUAAAGCACUUUCAGUAGAGAAGAAAAGCUCAAGAUUAAUACCCUUGAGUCUUGACGUAACCUACAGAAGAAGCACCGGCUAACUCCGUG
rnacentral:rRNA from 1 species